rnacentral:rRNA from 1 species
CCUAUCAAACUUUACUUUAGUUUAACUGGGGCAGUUAAUUAAUAAAAAUUUUAAUAAAGAUUAAGUACUAAAUAGANNNCCCAACANUAGUUGAUUACANUGAACAAGUUACUGUAGGGAUAACAGCGUAAUAUAUAUCUAAAGUUCUUAUUUUGAUAUAAGUUUGCGACCUCGAUGUUGAAUUNAUAUUACUUUCAAGCGCAAGAGCCUGAAAAGUGGGUCUGUUCGACCCCUAAAUAUAUACAUGAUUUGAGUUCAAAUCGGUGUAAACCAGAUUGGUUUCUAUCUAUUNUUAUUUGUGUCUUAGUACGAAAGGACCUGAAACAAUAUUAUAUAAUNAUUUAUAUGGCAGAAAAAUGCUUUAGAUUUAGGAUCUAACUAUAAUAGAUUAUUAUACUCUAUUUAACUUGUUUAAUCUCUGUUAUUAGAAUCCUUAUCGCAGUAGCUUUUUAUACCCUCCUAGAGCGAAAAAUUCUAAGCUACAUCC